rnacentral:rRNA from 1 species
UUUAAAUUGAGAGUUUGAUCCUGGCUCUGGACGAACGCUGGCGGCGUGCCUAACACAUGCAAGUCGAGCGAUGAAGCUUCCUUCGGGGAGUGGAUUAGCGGCGGACGGGUGAGUAACACGUGGGUAACCUGCCUCAAAGAGGGGGAUAGCCUCCCGAAAGGGAGAUUAAUACCGCAUAACAUUAUUUUAUGGCAUCAUAGAAUAAUCAAAGGAGCAAUCCGCUUUGAGAUGGACCCGCGGCGCAUUAGCUAGUUGGUGAGGUAAGGGCUCACCAAGGCGACGAUGCGUAGCCGACCUGAGAGGGUGAUCGGCCACAUUGGAACUGAGACACGGUCCAGACUCCUACGGGAGGCAGCAGUGGGGAAUAUUGCGCAAUGGGGGGAACCCUGACGCAGCAACGCCGCGUGAGUGAUGAAGGUUUUCGGAUCGUAAAACUCUGUCUUUAGGGACGAUAAUGACGGUACCUAAGGAGGAAGCCACGGCUAACUACGUGCCAGCAGCCGCGGUAAUACGUAGGUGGCAAGCGUUGUCCGGAUUUACUGGGCGUAAAGAGUAUGUAGGUGGGUGCUUAAGUCAGAUGUGAAAUUCCCGGGCUUAACCUGGGCGCUGCAUUUGAAACUGGGCAUCUAGAGUGCAGGAGAGGAAAGUGGAAUUCCUAGUGUAGCGGUGAAAUGCGUAGAGAUUAGGAAGAACACCAGUGGC